AACUGGGUUAAUACUAAAAACCAUGAAGAAGUGCAUCAAAAAGAUGCAAAAGUAGAAUCUAGCGAGAGAGAGAGAGAGAGAGAGAGAGAGAGAGAGAGAGAGAAGCACCUUUACUGUAGUCCUUAUUGGCGAGGACAAAAACAUGGAUUAAUGAUUAAAUUGUGAGUGGUUUUGUUUGAUAUGAAACACACACGUGAAGUCUUUCAUACUUUUACCAGCUGAGAAGCCAAAGAGAGGUUGAUUUCUGCAGAGGGGCAUGGGGAGACAAACCUGUCUUCUGGCUUCCUCUUGGUCUUUGCUCUCUGCCCUUUCCAUAAUCAGCAGGUUCACAAGCAUUGGGUUGGGACAUGUUUAACCAGUCCCUUGCUCAAUAAUUCUCUGCUCCCUCUCUCUCUCUCUCUCUCUCUCUCUCUCUGUGUGUCUGCAUUGCAUUUCUUCUCUCUCUCUCUCUCUCUCUAUAUAUAUAUAUAUAUAUAUAUAUAUAUUGAUAUACCAGGAGUUCCAUCCUUUACCUCCCAAAGCAUAGAGACGUCUUCUAUCAAGCUGAAUAAAUAAUGAAAUCUCUGCAUAUAAUUUUAUUUUGUCUCCUAACUGCUGCCUAUCUUUUUUCCCAAAACAUCAAUUCUUCAUCUUUAGUUUUUCCCAGAAGAAGACAGUCCCCGAGAAAGUUAAGCCUGCCAUCGAUUAAUCACAAGCACGAAUACCAGGCAACCCAGGUUGGUGAAGAAAAAUCUAAAUCAAGAAGAGUCCAAGAAAGUUUCAUGCCAUCCAAAUAUGAAAAAAGUGACAAAAAAUUAGAUGAGCUUGUUUAUAACAUGGAUUACCAUGGAGUGACUACUCAUCCAACUCCAACACCGAAGCAUCCCAAACCAUAGAAUACAAUAAACCUUCCUGAUGGAAGUUCUCUCGCCUUCAUAAUCGAAAGACUAUGCAGACGUACUAUAUUUAUCAUUAAUAGUUUCAUAUAUGUAAUGAUUGAGUCAUAUAUUUGAAAAAAAAACAAAAGAUGUUCAAAUCAUCUUUGAAGUGUCCUAUGUCUAUUCUUACUUACUAUUCUCCUA